CGGUAGCACAGAGGAGCUUGCUCCUUGGGUGACGAGUGGCGGACGGGUGAGUAAUGUCUGGGAAACUGCCCGAUGGAGGGGGAUAACUACUGGAAACGGUAGCUAAUACCGCAUAACGUCGCAAGACCAAAGAGGGGGACCUUCGGGCCUCUUGCCAUCGGAUGUGCCCAGAUGGGAUUAGCUAGUAGGUGGGGUAACGGCUCACCUAGGCGACGAUCCCUAGCUGGUCUGAGAGGAUGACCAGCCACACUGGAACUGAGACACGGUCCAGACUCCUACGGGAGGCAGCAGUGGGGAAUAUUGCACAAUGGGCGCAAGCCUGAUGCAGCCAUGCCGCGUGUAUGAAGAAGGCCUUCGGGUUGUAAAGUACUUUCAGCGAGGAGGAAGGCGUAGUGGUUAAUAACCGCA
rnacentral:rRNA from 1 species